rnacentral:rRNA from 1 species
UACGUAGGGUGCGAGCGUUAAUCGGAAUUACUGGGCGUAAAGCGUGCGCAGGCGGUUCGUUGUGUCGGUGGUGAAAGCCCCGGGCUUAACCUGGGAAUGGCCAUGGAAACUGGCGAACUGGAGUGUGGCAGAGGGGGGUGGAAUUCCGCGUGUAGCAGUGAAAUGCGUAGAGAUGCGGAGGAACACCGAUGGCGAAGGCAGCCCCCUGGGCUGACACUGACGCUCAUGCACGAAAGCGUGGGGAGCAAACAGG